CCUUUUAAAUCUGUGUCUUCUUCUGCUCUUCCUUCUGCUUCAUCUUUUCCCUUUGUUCCUUCUGGAGAACAUGAUGAUGAUUCUGAUUCUCCCAUACUACUCUCUCUCCUCCCUCUUCUCCCUCAACUGUGCAAGUGCCUUCUCCUGUCUCUGUCUCUACUGAUUCUGCCUUCCCUUUUCCUUUCAAUCCUGACAUCUCACCUCCUGUUUUGCCUUCUUCUCCUUCUGUUCCUGCUCCCAGAAAGUCUCAAAGAUAGCAUAAUCCUCCUUCCUAUCUUAAGGAUUAUGUAUGUCAACUAUCUGCCUUCUCUGGUUCAUCUUCCUCCUCUUUGGAAUCUGAGCCUCUAUAUUACUCUCAGGCUGCAUCUGUUCCAGCAUGGCAAGCUGCCAUGAGACAGCUUAAGGAUUAUGUCUGUCAACUACCUGCCUUCUCUGGUUCAUCUUCCUCCUCUUUGGAAUAUGAGCCUCUAUAUUACUCUCAGGCUGCACCUGUUCCAGCAUGGCAAGCUACGAUGAGACAGGAGUUUGAUGCUUUGGACACUAACCAUACUUAGGAUGUUGUCCCUCUUCCUCCUAGUAAGAAACCCAUUGGUUGCAAAUGGGUUUAUAAAAUAAAGUACAAGGCUGAUGGCUGUGUUG
rnacentral:lncRNA from 1 species